rnacentral:tRNA from 1 species
GAUUCCGUAGUGUAGUGGUUAUCACGUGCGCCUCACACGCGCAAGGUCCCCGGUUCGAGCCCGGGCGGAAUCA